rnacentral:lncRNA from 1 species
GAAGACGAAACCGACCUUGCUGAACUCGAGGCAAGGAACCCAUUUGGAGCGGAUGAGAUACUCGAUCUGCUUCAGGAGGGACUCCACGGUGAGAGGUGGCAGGUAGGAAAGGGUCUCGAACUUCUUGAUGCCCUCAAUUGGCCACACCUGCAAUUAGAUUAAAAUUAGCACACAAAGUGUGAUUUGAGACACAUAUCGAUGGAGUAUUUCACUUCACACAUAUCGGUAUGAUGAUAUACAUACCUGCAUGCUCGUGAUCCUGCCACCGUUGGAGACGCUGCCGAGGCCAGCGCCGGCAGAGCGGCGGCUGACGGGGAGCCCGGCGGUGGACUUGAGGCCCCGGAAAGGAGCAACAGCGGUAGCCGCCGCCGACAUCACUGUCGGACCCAUAGCAUCCACCCUUGUAUCACUAGAGUAUAUCUACUUAGCUAAUAUGCUAAGUUUGGCACGGAGAGAGGAGGUCGAGUGGACUUCAUUCCUGGUCACAAGGGUUUAUAUAUACCAUAUAACAUACGAGCAAUUUGUGAUUAAUUUGUUGUCGUUCUAGGAGAUGUGGAAAGGGUGGAUGCCGUUCGUUGGUUGCCUUAUCCGUUCUAGAGAAGGGAUGGAUGACCGACGCUCGCUCAGCCGUCUCCUUCGUCCAUCGUUGCCAAUCUUUCUAGCUAUAAUUGGAAGUUCCAAAGGAACAUACGGUUUCAUGCCUACUUCCAUCGGCCUAUCAUGUACCAAUCCAAUAAAAGGACAUCGUUCAACCAUCAAUCCAUGUGUGUGUAGUAAGUGAUUGGCUACGAACCUUCAGCUGACUUGCUUUAUUGGAUAUUUCUGUAAAGCGAGUCCACGGUGUGUGGGUUUAAAAUCUCGUGGCGGCAACUGUUGACGGGUGCAAAUAUCAGUAGCCUUAAAACAAUAAACUUUACUCCGUCCCUUCCGAAAUGCAAGAAUGUCCUAAGUCAAACUUCUUAUGCUGCAGGACCAUAGUUUUUGAGGUGUUCUUCUCACGAGUCCACGAAGAACGGGAAUUUUUUGGUGUCGGGUAAGGGCGGGGGAAUAUAUAGAUGCUAGCAUCAGCAUGACGGGCUAACGGGUCAGGUAGGAUUUUGGACGACGUAGCACCUGACAUGUGGGGGCCACAUGUAAGAAAACCUGUCAAAAUGUCAUAACCCUCUGUUUUGGUCAACUUGAUACAAUCUGAUACAAAACGUGUGGUUUUCCUGACAAAUUAGCAAAUUUUGUGUCUCUGUGAGAAGCACGCCCCAAAAACUGUGGUUCCGUGAAAUUUAUUCACUAGUUACACUUUAUCUACAAACAUCUACGAUUCUAAAAUAGUUUGGUAUAUAUUUUCCGUAAUAUAAUUAUUUGAUAUUCUAAAUUCGGGGAUUUGUUCUUAUAAACUUGGUCGAAGUUUAAAAAGUUUGACUUCGGACAAAGUUACGACUUUUUACAUUUAGGAAUGAAGGGAAUACAUUUUAGUAAAGCAAUUGAGGAAUUGACAGAAUUAAAUAUCUUAAAUUAUACUGGUCCAUCGUGUACUCAUGGCAACAAAAUAAAUUUAUAGUCGAAAAGUUGGACCAUGAAAACUUAAAACGUGAUACAUUAAAAUUGUUGAAUCACUCUACAUCUUGUAAUUUUCUCUUGCAACCUUCUGGCGCGCUACUCAUUCCACAUUUGGUACUAUAUGUAUAAAUGUAUAUAUAUACCGCAUUAGGAGCCUCUAUUACUGUUUUAGUAUAAAUAGCAGUUUCCAUCGACUAUGCACUUCAUUAACUUUUUCUUCACGAGAUAACUUGCUUAUCGAUUUUCUUUAAUUAUCCAGAUGGCUUCUACUAGUUUGUUUCCUUGCUUACUGGGAUUUCCGCAGACUUUACGGUUAGGUAUUAUUGUCGUGUGGACAACACGGUGGCCGGAUGUUGAGAUGAUGAUGUCCUUUAUCUCCGUGUUGCUUCUGAGGACUGCGGAUCCGAGGCUAGUGGCGGUAUGGGAUGCCUCUCUACCUCUUGAUCAGGUCAAUCCGGCUCAGCAAGAGGCGGAUCGAUGGUGGCCGGUGUGACUAGAAGCGGGGAGGUAUAUAUGAAACGUUUCUUGCUUCCAGCAUCUCUUCUAGCGGUAUAUAUGUCGUCAGCUGGUUGAGGGAUUGAUGGCAAUCGAUCAUGGCUACGAUGACAUGUAUACGCGCCGGUAGGAACACAUAUCAGGCAAUGUCGAUGCACCUGCAUUGGGCCCUUGCUGAAGGUGGUGGUGCGUAUGGCAGUCUAAAGAUUUAAGACACAAAUUUAGACUUAAAACUUAAAUAAUCAAUUUGUGCCAGCGGGAAACACACAAACACGUACCGGUAAAUUAUCAUAAUCAGAAUUUGUCGACGAAUUUGAUAUUCUUUUACAAAAUAUACUUAUCUUAAUAUGUAUAACCGGAGUUUAUAUUACAUGCCCCUCUCCCAACGAUAGUUGUAGUACUCUUAUAAUAGUAGUACUCAUGAAUACAGUUAAUCCGGGUUGUUGGGAGAGAUCACAUGCAUAAAUACAACAUGAAACAAACGUGUGAAAAAGGUACAUAAAAUCGGUGUGACCCGUUCUUGUAUUAUAAGAAAUCAACUUGCUUAGGCCUUGCCGGACUCCUCACAACCCGGUGGCUUGAAGGCGAUGAAGCUGAUGCACUGCACUUGCCUGGUGUUGUCGAAGCCGAUGAUGCGGACAUAGGCGUCAGGGUACUCCUUCUUCACCUCCUCCAGCUCCUUUAGCACCUGCGUGGCGUCGGUGCACCCGAACAUGGGAAGCUUCCACAUUGUCCAGUACCUGCCGUCGUAGUACCCGGGAGAGUUGCCGUGCUCACGGAAGACGAAACCGACCUUGCUGAACUCGAGGCAAGGAACCCACUUGGAGCGGAUGAGAUACUCGAUCUGCUUCAAGAGGGACUCCACGGUGAGAGGCGGCAGGUAGGAAAGGGUUUCGAACUUCUUGAUGCCCUCAAUUGGCCACACCUACAAUUAGAUUAAUAAUUAGCACCGAAAGUAUAAUUUGAGACACAUAUCAGUAUUUCACUUCAACAUAUGUACAUGAUGACAUACAUACCUGCAUGCACCUGAUCCUUCCACCGUUGGAGACGCUGCCGAGACCAGCGCUGGCUGAGCGGCGGCCGAUGGGGAGCCCGGCGGUGGACUUGAGGCCCUGGAAAGGAGCAACGGCAGUAGCCGCUGACGACAUCACUGUGGGAGCCAUCGUACACGUACGUAGAUAGCUAACAAGAGGAGGCAGGCUUGCUUGAGUGCUCUCUAGCUACAGCGGCUUAUAUAACUGUAGGCUCCCCACCCAUCCAAUAUCAGCACAAGAUCUAGGAGGGGUGGCUGCAGUUCGCCGCGCGGAUUUGCCCAGGCCACGCUGGCAUCCUACGGAUCAGGUCGGGCGCCACAUGGCCGCACGAAAUGGCGCGCGUUAUCCUCUGGACGGAUACAAUUGGCUGCAACGCACUCUGCAAAUCAUGCCAUGAAGUGACCAAUUUUCACCUAUCAGGAUAGAUCCAAUGUGCCACGGCAUGCACUCAAAAACAGAACUUGCUAAUCCCUCCAAUCCAUAAAAAAUCUCGCCCACUUAUUAGAAAAUUUGUAAUGAGUUAAUGCAAAAUGAGCAGCACUUUUUAUGAACUAGAGGAACAACAAAUUAAGAGAAACUCUUCUAAGAUCUUAUCGAGAACGAAGCUUGCCCCCGCGUCGCUCAGUCUGGGGCGACACGGGCGGCAACCACACCAGCCCCGGCAGCAGCCUCUCCCCGUCCUCUCCUCCCCCUCGCCGCCGCCGGGCAAAGCCCGCACGGGGACGGCGGCGGCGGGGCUGUUUUUCUUGGCGGGGGUGUCCUAGAGCUCUUGGCUGAGGCGUUUGAGGUGCUGCCUCAUCGUGGUCGCGGCGUCUCCGGCCCGAUCCGGCAGGCUAUGCCUCGUCUUCGGCUAGAUCCGGCCGGCUUCCUCCCGGAUCCGGUGUUUCCCCUCGUUCUUCCUCUCCCUGGUGCUCGGUCUGCUCGUGGCUGCGCGGCUUCACGGCGGCGCUCUUCGGCCGGAUCUAGCUACUCGUUGGCCAGAUCCGUCAUCUCCUCCGGCUGAUCCGGCAUGUCCCAGGUCUCUUCGUUUCCAUCAUUUUUCCUCUCAGUUUGGUGAGGCGGCUGAUUGAACUUCACCGGCGGCAGAUGGGCUGCUGCUGCGGCCAUACAUGGUCCAAGUCGGUCCUUUUCGAUGCCAUGGUGGCGUGGUUUUCAUUUUCGGUCGCGUCUUCGGCUGCUGCCCGUGUGCGAGGUAUGGACGUCGGCUCCGGUGUUUGGAGUGUUGCUCUGGAUGAAAACUGCCCGUGUGCGAGGUAUGCCGAAGACAACGAUGUUGUAGCGCCGUUUUCCUUCUUGGAGGUGUCGUCGAAGAGCUUCACUUUCCCUCACUUUGAUGUUUGGUGUCUUCGGGUGAAAACCUAAGAUUUGGCUAUGGCCAGAUCGGGCGACAACGGCGUUUUUACGUCGAUUUCCUCCUUGGGGGCGUUGUCAUGGAGACAACGACUCUUGGUGGCAUCGGGUGGUGUGGUCCGUCUAUGGUGGAGCUUGUUGUCUCGAGUUGUUGAAGGUUUGGUGGUGUCUCUUCUUGUGUCAUGUGUUAGCUUAGGCUGUCGGUUUGUGUCCGGCGAGAACGUGCGUUUCUUAUCCUUUGGUGCGGUUUCGGCAUGUGAUGCCUUUCGUCUUCACUAUCGUCACGUAGGUGUCGUGUUGUAUUCUCGGUGGUGUGUGGUCUUUCGGCUUAGCCAACGGCAAGUGGAGGUAUGAUCUCGGUUGUGUAUUGCCCUUCGACUUCAUCGGCGGCACAUCGGCGUCGCGGUGGGUCUCAGUGACGCGCAGCCCUUCGACUCUGCCGGCUACGUAGGUGUCAUGGUGCGGCCUUGACCCUGUGCUUCCCUUCAGCUACGGCGACGACAUAGUGUCUGGGUGGGCUCGUCAGAUCGACGCCUUUCGACUACAUCAACUAUGCUCUUCAUUGUGCAUUUAUUUUGCCAUUGACAUGUUUCAAGAGUCUAGGUUUUUUCCUUGUGUUUCUUUUAGCAAAUGCUGUUCUGCAGGCUGGCUUUUGCCCACCCGAUCAGAAAAGAAAAACAAAUUAAAGGCUAAAAUCAAGCGAUGUUAUAUUCCCUUAGCUAUUACAAAUAUGGAUGAUAAGAGUUAUUUAUCCUUUUUCAACGAGUAACCCUUUACUUGGAAGUUCCAUGUGCAUGGCGCUGCAAGAAAACAAACAUCAUAAUGGGGCAAGACUUUUUUUUUUAUAAACAUCCAAUUUGGGUUAAAGUCUGAAAGAAUUUGGCUAUCUGAACUUUCAGUUUCCACAUUCUUUUACCUACUCAAUUCUUCAGCCAACAGGAUCAAUGGCGACCUACUAACACCAACCAGAACACAUGGGUCACAAACACGAAAAAGGGCUAGAAGGCUACUUAUACACACUCAUGUGUACUGCGAGCAAAAGAACAUAAUGUACAAAACUUUACAAAAUCUAGGGAAUUAAGACCUUCCCGUAUGCUGUUGCUGCCGCUGCUGCUUCAUGCUGGCUCUCCUGGCAACAUCCCAUGGUUUGUGAGGCACACCUACACCUUGCUGGGAUGCGAAGAACGACUCGUAUCCCGGGGAGUCGAAAGCAAAACCAGUGUGCUUGGAGUUCUCUCGAGGGAGCAUGGAGAUCGCAUAGCUUCUUGCUUCUUCUGGGCUCAAAUGGCUCCUCUCAGGCAGAUGUAUCAUGCUGUAUUCGUGGGGGUCAUCCUUGUGCAUCUCCUGGAUUACUUGGUAGUCAUAGGGAAAGAGCCAUCUUUGGAGCCUGAGAAAGCACACAGCAUCAAAGACAACAAUUGAUUCAGCUACUUCAGUAUGUACAAUGGAAGGAAUAACAAACGGAUGGCAUUAACAAACAUAUAAUUUUGCAAAAGAGCUGGUAUCUUACGAUAGAUACAGGAAAUCACCAAAGAGAGCGAUGACUGGAGCAAGCAUUAGUGUGAGGUAGAAGAAAAAGGUACUCAUCAGAACAUAAAUCACAAAAUAUACAUUUUCCUGCACAAGGUACACAGCA